rnacentral:rRNA from 1 species
UCAGAAACUCAAAGGAAGUUGACGGGGCCCGCACAAGCGGAGGAGCAUGUGGUUUAAUUCGAUGAUACGCGAGGAACCUUACCUGGGCUCGAACGUAAGAUGACUGUAGGUGAAAGCUUACAUCUCUUCGGAGCAUUUUACGAGGUGCUGCAUGGUUGUCGUCAGCUCGUGCCGUGAGGUGUCGGGUUAAGUCCCAUAACGAGCGCAACCCCUACCUUUAGUUGCCAUCAGGUUAAGCUGGGGACUCUAAAGGAACUGCCUACGCAAGUAGUGAGGAAGGCGGGGAUGACGUCAAAUCAGCACGGCCCUUACGUCCAGGGCUACACACGUGCUACAAUGGCCGAUACAGAGGGCAGCUACCUGGUGACAGGAUGCAAAUCUCCAAAGUCGGUCUCAGUUCGGAUCGGAGUCUGCAACCCGACUCCGUGAAGUUGGAUUCGCUAGUAAUCGCGCAUCAGCCAUGGCGCGGUGAAUACGUUCCCGGGCCUU